rnacentral:rRNA from 1 species
UACGUAGGGUGCAGGCGUUAAUCGGAAUUACUGGGCGUAAAGCGUGCGCAGGCGGUUUCUUAAGUCAGAUGUGAAAGCCCCGGGCUUAACCUGGGAACUGCGUUUGAAACUGGGAGACUUGAGUGUGGCAGAGGGGGGUGGAAUUCAUGGUGUAGCAGUGAAAUGCGUAGAGAUCAUGAGGAAGACCAGUGGCGAAGGCGGGUCUCUGGACAGUUCCUGACACUGAGGCGCGAAGGCCAGGGGAGCAAACGGG